rnacentral:rRNA from 1 species
UGCGAGUCACAUAGCAUAUGUGGCAUACGGCUCAGUAACACGUAGUCAACAUGCCCAGGGGACGUGGAUAACCUCGGGAAACUGAGGAUAAACCGCGAUAGGUCACUACUUCUGGAAAGGGUAAUGACUUAAAUCUAUAUGGCCCCUGGAUUGGACUGCGGCCGAUCAGGCUGUUGGUGAGGUAAUGGCCCACCAAACCUGUAACCGGUACGGGCUCUGAGAGGAGGAGCCCGGAGAUGGGCACUGAGACAAGGGCCCAGGCCCUAUGGGGCGCAGCAGGCGCGAAACCUCUGCAAUAGGCGAAAGCCUGACAGGGUUACUCUGAGUGAUUUCCGUUAAGGAGAUCUUUUGGCACCUCUAAAAAUGGUGCAGAAUAAGGGGUGGGCAAGUCUGGUGUCAGCCGCCGCGGUAAUACCAGCACCCCGAGUGGUCGGGACGUUUAUUGGGCCUAAAGCAUCCGUAGCCGGUUCUACAAGUCUUCCGUUAAAUCCACCUGCUUAACAGAUGGGCUGCGGAAGAUACUAUGGAGCUAGGAGGCGGGAGAGGCAAGCGGUACUCGAUGGGUAGGGGUAAAAUCCGUUGAUCCAUUGAAGACCACCAGUGGCGAAGGCGGCUUGCCAGAACGCGCUCGACGGUGAGGGAUGAAAGCUGGGGGAGCAAACCGGAUUAGAUACCCGGGUAGUCCCAGCUGUAAACGAUGCAGACUCGGUGAUGAAUUGGCUUCAUGCCAAUUCAGUGCCGCAGGAAAGCCGUUAAGUUUGCCGCCUGGGGAGUACGGUCGCAAGACUGAAACUUAA